AGCGAACGCUGGCGGCAGGCUUAACACAUGCAAGUCGAACGCCCCGCAAGGGGAGUGGCAGACGGGUGAGUAACGCGUGGGAACGUACCCUUUGGUUCGGAAUAACUUGGGGAAACUCAAGCUAAUACCGGAUAAGCCCUUAUGGGAAAGGUUUACUGCCGAAGGAUCGGCCCGCGUCUGAUUAGCUAGUUGGUGAGGUAAUGGCUCACCAAGGCGACGAUCAGUAGCUGGUCUGAGAGGAUGAUCAGCCACACUGGGACUGAGACACGGCCCAGACUCCUACGGGAGGCAGCAGUGGGGAAUCUUGGACAAUGGGCGCAAGCCUGAUCCAGCCAUGCCGCGUGAGUGAAGAAGGUCUUCGGAUUGUAAAGCUCUUUUGCCAGGGACGAUAAUGACGGUACCUGGAGAAUAAGCCCCGGCAAACUUCGUGCCAGCCGCCGCAGUAA
rnacentral:rRNA from 1 species